UAUCAGCUUGUUGGUAGGGUAAUGGCCGACCAAGGCAAAGACGGGUAGGGGGCGUGAGAGCGUGGCCCCCCAGAAUGGGAGUGAGACACGGCCCAUACACCUACGGGUGGCAGCAACUGGGAAUCUUGCGCUAUGGGCGAAAGCCUGACGCAGCGACACCGCAUGAAGGAUGAAGGCCUUCGGGUUGUAAACUUCUGUUAAAUAGCACCGGCUAACUACGUGCCAGCAGCUGCGGUAAGACGUAGGGUGCAAGCGUUAUCCGGAUUUACUGGGCGUGAAGAGUUCGUAGGCGGAAAGGUAGGUUGUUGGUUAAAGCCCCCGGCCCAACCGGGGAAAAGCUGACAAAACCGCCUUUCUUGUCCUAUGCAGGGGGUGCUGGAACUUACCAUGUAGGAGUGAAAUCCGUUGAUAUGGUAAGGAACGCCAACGGGGAAGGCGGGCACCUGGGCAGUAGGAGACGCUGAGGAACGAAAGCUAGGGGAGCGAACCGGAUUAGAGACCCGGGUAGUCCUAGCCGUAAACGAUGUCCGCUAGUU
rnacentral:rRNA from 1 species